rnacentral:tRNA from 1 species
GCCUGGCUGGCUCAGUCAGUAGAGCAUGCGACUCUUGAUCUCGGGGUCAUGAGUUCGAGCCCCAUGUUGGGUG